CACUAGUGAAAGAAACGAGCCUCGCUGUGGGCACUUGGGUCCUCGUACGAAAUGAAGGACCUGAGAAGUUCCAACCAAGGUGGUUUGGGCCGUACAAAAUCCUCAAAUCACACCCCCUUGGAACGUACGCUUUGGAAGAACCAGGGGGACGGGUCCUACGCAAUCUUAUAAAUGGCUCUCGCCUUGUAGAGGCGAAGGCGGAGGAUCCCAAUGGGCUGUGGUCAUCUGCAGCACUAUCAUCAGCGUUGAAGAAAAGAGGGCUUACGAUAGAAAAGCCCAGAGAAGUUAGGGAAAUCAUCGACGCUUACGAACCAGAUGGUAUCACUUACUCGGACCUCUCGACAAUAACUAAAAAAGAAUGGGAGGAAAUGGAAAAGGCGGGCAUACGGCACGCCCCGAUAAGUGACGAGACUGUUGCUGGCCGUACGAUAUUGCGACGUAGACAGCGGGCGCAACGCGGUCAGGGGCGAACUCGAGGCGGCCGAUCAGCACGUGGAUCGGGUCGCAAGAAACAAAGGGAUCCAGAAGAGGAUUCGACUGUCUACGCUAGCUCAAUCGCGGAGACCUCAGAGGAUGAACUGUCAGAAACGUCAGCGGACGCGUUGGACCAAGCUAUUUCGGCAUCUGAGGACGCUCAGAGGUCGGGCGAGGUUAGUUUCGAUGGGCCAUUCGCUGUAGUUGUCUGAGCUUGCGAAGGGGGACAGUAUAAUACGCGGAGGCAGAAGGCUCUCAUUGGAAAACAUGGGAUCUGCCGCACCUAGUCGUCAAGCGUAGAACCGGUAAAAGGUCGCGUAAGAUUAACGACUAGGAAAGGAAGGAAAAAGAGAAAACCAGGAAAAAGAUCUAUUCGCGCGCAGCCCUAAUGGCCGCCGCAAGGGCUUCGCCCGACUCCUAAAAAUACAUGGACGUCGCAAAAACAAAAGAAAAGGCGUACGCCAACGAAAACGCCCAAACCAACAACCCCCAGAAACGUCCGUACGCAACAAAAAGGAAACUAAAACUCGGCCUGCGCCAAGGACUCCAGGAUCUCAAGGCGCGCGCGUAGGAGUGCAGUGCACGCCUCCGCCUCGCGCAGGGCCUGGCGCACCGAUUCGAUAUCUCCAAUGGGGAGAUUCGCAGGGAGGCCAACAAAACGAUGGGCACGCGUACGCGGAGAAAAACCGGCCAGAAGGGGGGAGGGCGAGGAGGGAGCGGGCAAAGCAGUUGAGCGGGCGCCCGAAUUUCUACGGGGACGGGUGGCGGACGCUCGCCCAACGGGAGUCGAAGGAAGGGGAGGAGCGGAAUUGGGAGCGGAGGAGGGUGGACGAGUGGCGAAAGGACCCGAGGGGGGAGCAGGGAUAGGCGUACGCGGGGUGGCGUCAGAAGUAACUGUAGAAGCAUUAACAGCCACCCACCACAAUGAAAAGAAAGAAGCGUACGCUUACCGAAGGAACAGGAACUCCCCUUGGAGCUCCAAAGGCAGUUGCAACAGGGGCGGGGACGGCCGGCAGGACGGUCACGCGCAGGAGGCAGAACGCAAAAUUGGAAUGGCCCUUUGCCCCUCGCACAACCCGCACAAGGAACAGGCGUAUACUCACCCCGAGUAUAAAAAAGCGCCACGUCGCCGUUCGGACUACCCUGCACACGUAUUUCUUUCCUACGAAUAACCAAUUCGGAAGUCAUUCGCCAGCAAAGGGGACGAAGGCACUCAUCCGAUAAGCUGGAAGCGCGCGAAGACAGGGGGGCAAUGCAAAAAUUGGCGUAAGCGAACAUAGCGCGGGGGUCCUCGUCUGCCAUAACCUCAACGACGCGGAGGCCCUGUACAAUUUCACCUACGAAAAGUUAGAAAGAAAAUCGUAGAAAAGAGACAAAGAGGGGUAUAACAUACGCUCGGCACAAUCGGUACGAACAACGGCAGAAUCCAAGGGAUGCGUAAGAUUGCUGAAGGUUUCGUACUUGCUCCGAGCAAGGGGCGCGACAGACGAAUAACUGGCGAAGCGGGUUGUGUCGUACAGCACUUGCGUAUGAAAUCGCGUUUUGGAGGAGGCAGUGGGAGCAGGAGGGGGGCGUGGAGGAUAGAGGGGGGGGCCGCGGAAGAUGCGUAGGGCUUCUCGAAGAGCGGGCGAAAGGGAGGAACCAGCGUAGGAAGAGGGGGGGGGAUUGGCGGGGGCGAGAGAGGGGGAACCGGGGGCAGGGGAGGCGGAGGCACGGACGAGAGCAGGGGAGGCAGCGGCAGGGGACAACACAGGGGCAUCCGCCAUCUCAUCAUCACCACGAACGCUGCCAUCACUGCCCACGUCCUCGCCGACCGCUUCGCUUACGUCCUGAUCGUCGACAGGGGUAGCCACGUUGUCAUCGUCUACCCCCGCAACAUCGUCGUAAGCGAUCUCCUCAAUAGGAGCGAGAUCGCGCGCGGGAGGGACAUCAGGAGGGGAGAGGGGACGAUCACGAGCAAGACGGGCGCUCUGGCGACGAGGAGUAGAAACUAACGACAAUUAGCAACCGCGAAAACCGCCAGAUUAGCUUUCGACAAGGUUUGGUCGACAAGAACUUACCAAUAGAUCGCACGACGCGACCAGAACGGUGGGAGACGCGGCGACCAGGGGCCAUAUCGCAGGAUAGGGGGGCUAGACGUUCGAUAGGAGGGGAUAGGUGCGUAGGACGAUUGGAGCAGGGCAAGGGAGGUCGAGUGUACGAGAGAGCGAAUGGGAGGGGAUAGUUGUGAACGUGGCGUUGGUUAGUGAUGGGCCGGCGUUGUUGUGAUAGGGACUCUUGUGCGCGCGAAGCGAGCACCUUACCUAUUGCGGAAUAGCGCAUCGCAAAAGCGGGCGCGCACGGCAUAACACUAUUUCCGUCACGAGGGCGUAGACGGAUUUGGUAGGGGAGGAUGUGGUAAUUUCGGCUUAUUAUUCUUCCGUGGCGUACGCCACCCCCUAUUAUUAAGGAUGGCGUACGCUACUGCACUAGUUAUUUCGUAUAAGAAGAGCUGCAAAGCUUAGAAGCUUUGAACAGCUUAAGCAACCUUUGAACUACA
rnacentral:sRNA from 1 species